rnacentral:rRNA from 1 species
UACGUAGGGUGCGAGCGUUGUCCGGAAUUAUUGGGCGUAAAGAGCUCGUAGGCGGUGUGUCACGUCGUUCGUGAAAACCUGCAGCUUAACUGUGGGCGUGCGGUCGAUACGGGCAUCACUGGAGUUCGGCAGGGGAGACUGGAAUUCCUGGUGGAGCGGUGAAAUGCGCAGAUAUCAGGAGGAACACCCGUAGCGAAGGCGGCACUCUGGGCCGAUACUGACACUGAGGAGCGAAAGCGUGGGGAGCGAACAGG